rnacentral:rRNA from 1 species
AUUGAACGCUGGCGGCAUGCCUUACACAUGCAAGUCGAACGGCAGCGGACCUUCGGGUGCCGGCGAGUGGCGAACGGGUGAGUAAUAUAUCGGAACGUACCUUUCAGUGGGGGAUAACGUAGCGAAAGUUACGCUAAUACCGCAUAUUCUGUGAGCAGGAAAGCAGGGGAUCGCAAGACCUUGCGCUGAUUGAGCGGCCGAUAUCAGAUUAGCUAGUUGGUGAGGUAAAGGCUCACCAAGGCGACGAUCUGUAGCGGGUCUGAGAGGAUGAUCCGCCACACUGGAACUGAGACACGGUCCAGACUCCUACGGGAGGCAGCAGUGGGGAAUUUUGGACAAUGGGCGCAAGCCUGAUCCAGCCAUGCCGCGUGAGUGAAGAAGGCCUCGGUUGUAAGUACGUCUUUCGGUCC